AUACUUACCUGGUGCCGGGACCUCGUUGAUCACCGAGGACGAACCCCCAAGGCGAGGCGCGGACAUUUCACUGCGCUCGCGUUGACCCCUGCCACUACCCCAAACUGGGGCAGAUUGUACAUGCAAGUUGUCUAAAUC
rnacentral:snRNA from 1 species